UUUGAAUGCGAAGAGUCAAGCAAGAUUGAGCGGAACAGUGACCGCUCGAAGUGGAUAACUGCGCCACAGAAGCGGGUAGUUGUAUUGCUUGCGUGUGAUGCGAUGGAAUGCCCGCAUCACACUGCAACGCAGCCCGGGUUAAAAAAUGCUGGCAAAGACAUUCGAGAUACAACCUCGGGUGUCUUUU
rnacentral:sRNA from 12 species